UGGGGAAUAUUGCACAAUGGGCGGAAGCCUGAUGCAGCAACGCCGCGUGCGGGAUGACGGCCUUCGGGUUGUAAACCGCUUUCGCCUGUGACGAAGCGUGAGUGACGGUAAUGGGUAAAGAAGCACCGGCUAACUACGUGCCAGCGGCCGCGGCGAUACGUAGGGUGCGAGCGUUGUCCGGAUUUAUUGGGCGUAAAGGGCUCGUAGGUGGUUGAUCGCGUCGGAAGUGUAAUCUUGGGGCUUAACCCUGAGCGUGCUUUCGAUACGGGUUGACUUGAGGAAGGUAGGGGAGAAUGGAAUUCCUGGUGGAGCGGUGGAAUGCGCAGAUAUCAGGAGGAACACCAGUGGCGAAGGCGGUUCUCUGGGCCUUUCCUGACGCUGAGGAGCGAAAGCGUGGGGAGCGAACA
rnacentral:rRNA from 1 species